rnacentral:lncRNA from 1 species
UUGCAUUACAACCCCGGCUGUCUUAGUGGAGGGGGCCCGCCGGACACCCGCAAAAUGGGGCGCUUUGCGUUGUUCCUGCUGAAGGAGCUUCAGAGACAGCAGCUGUCGGCUCAGUUCUGCGACACGAUUUUACAGGCCCAGGGUGUCUCCGUCCCGGUGCACAGCUGUGUGCUGUCUGCCUUCAGCCCGCGGCUCUCCGGAACCCUGUCGGCUCUCCCGGCCGUCCCAGCAGGGCACUGCCGGCUGAUCCAGCUGGAGGCUGUUAAGGCCGCCACCCUGCUCCGACUGGUGGGCCUGCUCUACUCCGGCGUUCUGGAAGGAGAUAAAGAAGAGCUGCUGCUCGCCGCAGGCCGACUGGGCAUUAAACCGUGGCUGGAGGGAAAAGAGAGGAGGCCGGAGGAUGAGGGGGCCGAGGAAGAUGGUUGGCACCACGGAGGAGGAAAGCGAUGUAUUGAGCGAGUAGUUUAUAGGGAGGUGGCAGCACAAACCGAAGGGCUGCAGUGGAUCAGAGAGAGCAGCAUGCAGACCUUUGCAGAACAGCACACGGGCGAGGGAGAGCAUCCGGUCCACCAUGACAUCACUUCCUCCCAACUCCCUCAGCGUGUGACGGAGGAAUGGCCGUCUGACUGGACGCGUGUUUGUCCCACUGUUCCAUAUGGUACGGAUGGAACGAGGCCAUGGGAGACACAGUGCUGUUUGCCCAACAGAGCCAGCGUUCCAGGGUCUCCGCCUAAUGAUGUCACCGUGCCUGGGGUGAUGACGUCCACUCUUGAUGAUGCGGCAUUGAAUGCAUUGAUAUAUGGAACAGGGAUGGUCCAGAAUGUACAGCACCCAUCUGUACCCAACUUCAGUGCUCCUACACAGCCCCUCUUGUCACCCUCGAACACCCUUCCUAGAGACGGUGAGGACAUAAGAAGAAGCAUGGACGAAGACGAGUAUGGAGAGCUGUUGGAGAGUUUUGAAGGGUGGAACCCCAGGCACCUGCAGGCCAAGAGGCUGCCCAAGGUUACGUCCCAUCCCCGUACCCCAAGGUGCACUUCAGGAACUCCCCGAACCAUCUGACGUCUCCCUCGGCCAGAUUCACGGUGACAUUUUAGAUUUUGUCCUGCAGUCUUUUGAAGAGCAGAGCGCAGGUCCGUCGCACAACAAUGCCAGCAGUGCCAACACUGAUCUUCAGACAUGCACUAUUACCUCACAUGACAGUAUACAUAGAUCUUCACAAGCAUUCCCGAAUCAGCAGAACCUUCAGGAUGGAUUGAUUCCAGAGUCCUGUAUGCCUGGAAAUGAAGUGCAAAAUAAGGACCACACCACAGAGAACUCACCAAACCCCAAAAGAAAGGGGAAACCACAAUUGACGUUAAAAAAGGAUGACUUUCAGGUGAGGAUGAUGACCAGAAGCCAGGGAAAACAAUGUCUGAAAAGCCAGCAAAAUGAGAAGGACUCACAGAUUGAACAAUCUGUGAGAAAGGAAGUGACCAGACAGAGACCAGGAAGACCAGUUAAGGGGUUUAAGUCAAGAAGAGACACUGGUAAGUAUGGUAAUCUGAGAGCUGAGGUUCCUCAAGAAAGUCCGAGUGUCCCCCAUAAGAGGAAGCAGCAGAGCGAUUUUAAGAAGGGAACAGGACAUGGUGUCAGGAGCACAAGGAAGAGGAUGAGGAAGGACUUACACGAUCAGCAAAGUAAAGUGAUCAAUUCAGUUGACAGAGAGACAGCAACUUCUGCAUUUAAGAAGAUUAGGCAAUUGCUAGAAGGUAGACGAAAGCAAAGGAAAUCUAUGGAAGAAGGAAGAGCUGAAGUUCUGGAGAAAGAAAUCACUGGAGAAGCGACAACAGGAGAACUUUACAGGCCAGGGGUAGAAGAACUGCCACCCAAAACACAUCUUCCAUCUGAGAAUGCUUUGGAAACUUACUACACCAUGCUGUUCAGCACAACAGAACCUCUGCUCAGUUCAACCAAGACGUGUUCUGAUCCAGACCAACCAUCCAGAAGCUCAGAAAUUGCCUCUGAAAAAGAGUCUUCCUCAAUGGAAAUAGCCAUUGCAGUUGCUCGGAACCCUGAAUCAAAGGUCAAAAAAGAGUCUCCAGGAAGCACUGAUGAUGAUGUGGACGUGAUAGGCUUCUCUAGUCCUGUGCCAGAGCCAGUGUGUAUGUUUCCAGUUGUCAUUGAGGUGGAUUCAUGCUCAGAGGAGGACAGUGACAUUGAUGUGAUUGAUUAAAUGACUGGUUAACUGGUCCGUUCAUAGACAAUGGUUGUUGUUCAUGUUGCAUCAUGAAGCAGAAUUUUUCAUUUAAAUUUAUGAAUGUAACAAGGUGGAGUUCAGACAUUUUUACAUUUUUGUUGGUGUUCUCCUGAGUAUUAUACUUGUUUACUUCUUUUUCCAGAUGUUUUACUUGAUUCCUGUUCAGUACCUUUUGCCUUUUACAUUAAAGAGUUGUAGGAAGGGUUAUUUCCUUAUUCCGUGC